GCCGAGAUGACCCUCGAUGGUCCAGGUGCAGGCUUCAAACCUGUAACCCAUUAGCAUCAGAGCGGUUCAAUUCCGCCUUCUCGGU
rnacentral:tRNA from 1 species